rnacentral:tRNA from 1 species
GUGGCUGUAUGGAUAUACAGGAUUGUGAUUCCUGUUGUCGUGGGUUCGAGCCCCAUCAGCCACCCCA